UGUUACAGCUCGUUGCAGCGAUGCUAUUGCUUCUUCUUCUUCAUCUUUCACGAUUCCUCUCUGCUUCUUCUUUACCGUUUCACAUGGCUGCUUCUGUUGCAAAACCAAUUAGAGAAAGAGACUAACCUUCCAAAGAGAAGUUUCUUUUAAAUCCGUUCAGUUGUUGUUUUUGUGGUUUUUUUUAUCAAUUCAAUCUUCCCGUCGAGAGAAUUAUGGACCGGGGAUAAGGGUUUCAAUUCUCAUGGAAACGCGCGAAAAUCAAUCAGUUGAACUCGAUGAUUUUCCCGGAAAAAAAAAAAGAAGUGUGCUGCUUUUUCAAUCGAUCUUGUUCGAUCUAUCAAGAGCUUCCUCGCAUCGUUUUCGUUCCAUACAAUCUUCGCAGCAAGAAGGUUCAUAAAUUAUUUCUCGCCAUGGAAACGGCCUUUAGGGAAUAUUUAACAGAUGAAUAUAUUGAUUGUGUCUUGGAGGGUUUGGAGAAAAACGUUGGAAAAAUACUAUGUAUCAAGACUUACGGACCAGCAGAUCUUCGAAAUGAUGAAAAUGCUUAGAAUCUUCAUGAUGAUGUUGUUUCAGGUCGGAGAUUUAUUCUAAGUAUAGGUUGCAGAGAAGAACCUACUGAAAAUCAACUCCUUCGAAGUCCAUUCGCAUGAAAAGCUAUUGCACACUCAAUAGCAACAUGAUUAUUGAUACAUUAAAGUCGAAGGACAAUAUUCUGGCAGGAGCAUAUGAGUUCUUACUUCUCCUCGUAUAUGUUACAAUCAAAGGCAAAUCCUCCGCUCUUGCUUCCUAACUCAAGUUCUCCAGAGGAGGGCCAAAUUUGUCUCCGAGGAUGGUUAGUAUAUGCCAAACUUGGCUCAGCCAACUAUGGAGCUAGCCCAAAAGUCAAUUUCCAUUGAGGAAACUGUUUUUGACAAAAACGUGCAAGGUGCAAGAGCAAGAUUAGUUAGAAGAGGAAGCCCAGCUAAAGUGAAUUAAGAAGUUUUGCAGCGCUGAUCAAGAAGGUAGAUUCUGGUUCAUCAAUAAGAAUGCAAACACAUGCUUCUUUGUUUAGUGAUUUGGACAACCCAAGUGUGGAGGCAGAGGCAAGUGACCCUGAAUGAGGAAGAUGUUAAGAAUUAGGAGUAAAGUGCAACAAUGAAGGAAAGGUAGUGCAUCAGAGUUCUGGAUCCCAGCACAUCUAGUGUGGUGCCACACACCACACAUAUCACAGGCUAACAUCCUUUCACCAUCAUCAUCCUUUGUGCCACACUUGCAAUCAACCUUCCAAUUCUCCACUCCUCUCUCCAUGCGGUAUCGGAGGAGCCCGUGUUUUGAUGAGCAUCUCCCUUUAACCCGUAUGACCCCAUUUGUGCCAACUAAAAACUUCAGGCUUCGCUUUUCAGGUCAGAAACAGUAGCGUCCAAUGGCAAAACCAAAAGUUCAGGUGGAGGGGAUGGGCAGUCUUUGGCCUCAUCCGAGAGCUCAACAUUGCACCACAGGUUGAUUGCAAAGGGGUUAACCGUGCUAGACAGGUUCAAGCCUGAAGUUCACGAGCAAAGGUUAAGAUUUUGCAAAUUGGAAACCAGCCGAACCAACCAGGAAAAUGAAGAAACAUUACCUGUACUCAAAGUCGUUCGAACCAGGGUUACAACGGAAGCAGACUACUCGUGAUCCAUCAUCCGCCAAAAACCCUCCAAAAUGCUUUAGACAGUAAUCAAUCAGCUGUGGAGAUGCUGUUUUGCAAAUAGACCUUUUGAGAGCCCACCUUGUAACCCAGUUGCCUCGUUGACCUCCUGCAGCUUUCACUAUCUUAACCAUGGCUUGCUGUACACGUUCUAUAUCACUCCUAGUCCAAGCACACAGAACAUACGGCUUUGCUGCGGGUUUUGAUCGGUUCUCACGAAUCAGCUGUAGCAGAAAGGAAAAGAGGUCUCUCACGGUCACAAGCUCUGAACACGAGAGUGAUUGGUAGAAGCCAAUAGUGGAGUGGAGUUGGGUUCUUGCCCUCCUCCCCUGGAAC